rnacentral:lncRNA from 1 species
UUCCUUCCUCCUUCCUUCCUUCCUUCCUUCUUCCUUUUCUUCCUUCCUUUUUUCUUCCUUCCUUCCUUCCUUCCUUCUUCCUUUUCUUCCUUUUUUCUUCUCCUUCCUUCCUUCCUUCUUCCUUUUCUUCCUUCCUUUUUUUCUUCCUUCCUUCCUUUUUUCCUUCUUCCUUCCUUUCCAGACACAGUUGUACUGUAAGGGGAGAAUAUUCUGCAGUAUUUAAAAGAAUUAUUAUUUACUUUCAUUCACAUGGUUAGUGUAUGGUUUUUAAGGUUUAAGGAUUUCCCAAAGGUUGUAUAAGGGAAGCACUGCCUUCUGCAUGGACAACUGGUGUGCCCCAUGUGGUGUUUCCCCAUUUCACAGCAGAGCCACUUAGAUGCACAUUCAGGAACUAGCAAGUCACUAAGUCACACGACAACUUGG